AUGUACCACUCGUACACUGCGGUUCCUGCGCGCCGUCCGCGCCCACCUGACAGCUGCUCGCUAC
rnacentral:sRNA from 1 species